rnacentral:lncRNA from 1 species
UUGGGAAUUCAUCAACAAAGCUCUCUUAAGCAUUUUAUCAAACACCUUGUCUACAACUCUUUGCCUACUUCUUACCUACGAAUUUCCUUCUUCCUUAGUUUGUUCCAACAAGUCCAAUUACUCUUAGGCUUACAUUGGUGCAACCCCAACACCUUUGUGCCGCACGUUGGUUUUGUGAUUAAAAUAACCACGUGACAGGUGGUAUCAGAGCGUGUUCGUUCAAAGGGACAUACUCUUGAUCGUUGCUAUCAAGUGCACGAUACCGAGAGACCAAGAUUCAAGACUCUAGUUCUUGAAACGUUGUCAAAGUAACGGAACACAGUUUCUACACCCACUUAUUCCCAGUUGACUUGUGAACAAGAUGUCCAGCGAAGAAGGCCACAUUUCAGCCCAAGCUGAACAGGUUCUUGAAGGACCUAUCACACGAGGUAGGAAGGACCGACGAUCCCCGACCCGACGAUCGAAAUCUAAGGGUCCGGAUGCAAGGGAGCAUGUCGAAACUCGCCUUGCCAACCUUGAGCAAAGUCUCGAGGAUGUCCAGCACACGGUAGAAGAGUUGGGUGAUAACUACGAAGAGCUUAUUCAGGAGAAUGUGGAAAUCUCCGCAGCAACCAAGGAGCUCGUGGCCGACCUUGGAAAAACAUUCCAAAAGGAUUUGAAGGAGUUGUCAUCAACCGUAACCACUUUGAAGACAUUUGUUGAAGGUGAGUUACGCGAACUCUAUUCUAAGUAUAUUUCCCUAGAUGCAAAGGUAGAUACUCUUUGCAUGGAAUGUCGUUCCAAGCACUUUGGUGGAGACGGUCCAUCCACCAGUACACACACCGCUGUGCAAGGCACUACUCACAUAAAAGUGUCGAAACCUGACACAUACAAUGGGGUGAGGAAUGCCACGGUCGUGGAAAACUUCCUCUUUGGUCUUGACCGAUACUAUGUAGCUGUCGGUGUUCGAGAUGAUGAGGCCAAGAUAAACAAUGCCCCGACAUUCCUAAGGGAUGUCGCACAACUUUGGUGGCGUCGAAGAUACGCUGACCAAAAUGGGAAUGCCAUCCAGACGUGGGAACAAUUCAAGGCCGAGCUAAGAAAGCACUUCGUUCCCCACAAUGCUGAAAUGGAGUCAAGAGCCAAACUUCGAAGGCUACGACACACAGGUAACAUUCUCGACUAUGUGAAGGAAUUUACCACUAUUAUGCUUGAAAUUAGUGAUCUGCCCGAGAAGGAAGCCCUAUUCCAAUUUAGAGAUGGAUUGAAAGAUUGGGCCAAGGUUGAGCUAGACCGUCGCAAUGUCCAAACAUUGGACGACGCUAUAGCCGCAGCUGAGAUGCUUAUCGAUUAUACAACCCAAUCAAAGGAGAGAAAACCUAGCCCAAGUAAACGUGAAGGCAAUCACUACAAGCAUAGAGACUCCGAGCAAAAGGAAAAGGGAAAGAAGGCAUUCCAAAGACAUGGCAAGUAUCACAAAACUCAACAAGGUGAGUCGUCCAAACCUUCUCCCUGUUUUGUUUGUAAUGGCCCUCAUCGGACAAGAGACUGUCCGAAUAGAAAAGCAAUGAACGCACUUGUUGCCUAAAUUACUCGAGUCCAAGCAAGGAGAUGAUACACCACAGAUUGGUUCCUUGCAACACAUUGGAGCUCUGAAACAGGCCAAUCAAACAACUAAAGGAGGCCUACUCCAUGGAAAUGUAAAGAUAAACGGGAGAGAGGCUAUUGCCAUGUUUGACACCGGUGCGAGUCAUAACUUCAUGAACGUGAAUGAGGCUAAGAGAAUAGGCCUCAAGUUCACAAACGAAGAGGGGACUGUCAAGGCGGUAAACUCAGAAGCACAAGCCAUCAAAGGUGUAGCAAGAGGUGUAACAGUCAAGAUCGGUGAUUGGCAAGGUAAGCUCGACUUCACCGUGCUACCUAUGGAUGACUUUGACAUCGUGCUUGGCUUAGGGUUCUUCGAUAGAGUAAUUGCUAUCGUUGACUCCUCCGGAUGUACCCUGACGAUAGUGGAUGGUCAAAUAACGACCAUCCCACUAAAGAAGGGAAAACCAACAAUCAGAUUGUCAGCCAUGCUGAGUAAGGAGGGAGUCGCCGAAACCCAACAUCAAACAGUACCGUCGAGAGAGACAAAUUCUAAACCAACAGUCCCAGCAUAACACAAGGACGUUAUGCUCGAGGCAAAAUCAGGAAACGCCGAUGCACUCAAUAACGUCGUAAGCCAGAAGGCAAAACUGACUGCUAUAACCACCAGCAUGCCCAGGAGUGAUUUCCUUGACAAAAUCAAGGAAGGGAUGAAGAAUGAUGCGACAGCCAAGAACUUAUUGAAGUUGGCCAAGGAAGGUAAAACCAGACGCUUUUGGGAGAGCGAUGAUGCCCUCCUUACAAUUGGAAACCGGUUGUUCGUGCCACGAUGGGGAUCCUUACGGAAGGAUAUUUUAAAGGAGUGUCAUGAUUCUUUAUGGGUCGGACACCCAGGUAUGAAUCGAACCCUUGCCCUUAUUCAUGACAAAUAUUACUGGCCGAAAAUGCAAGACGAUAUUGAAGCCUAUGUCAAGACUUGUCUAAUAUGUCAACAAGACAAGGGGGAACAGCAACUCCCAGCAGGGUUACUUGAACCCUUGCCUAUAGCGGAAAAACCUUGGGAUAGUGUUACAAUGGACUUCAUUGUAGCCUUACCUAAGUCCCAAGGGUUUGGAAGCAUCAUGGUAGUGGUGGAUAGAUUCAGCAAGUAUGCAACAUUUAUUCCAUGCUCACCAGAUGUGAAAGUCGAUGAAGCUGCUAGGCUGUUCUUCAAAAAUGUUGUGAAGUUAUGGGGAGUACCUAAAAGCAUCAUCAGCAAUCGAGACCCCCGCUUCACAGGCAAGUUUUGGCGAGAACUCUUUAAACUUGUGGGGACAGAACUAAACUUCUCUACUAGUUUCCAUCCCCAGAGCGACGGCCAAACGGAACGAGUAAAUGCCUUACUGGAGCACUACCUAAGGCAUUAUGUCAGUGCACACCAAAAGAAUUGGGCAACUCUCAUCGAUAUAGCCCAGUUUUCUUAUAACCUUCAAAGGAGUGAGGCUACCGGAAAGAGCCCCUUUGAAAUAGUCAUGAAUCAACAACCCAACACUCCUAGUGCCUUGAUUAUUCCAUAUGAAGGACCCAAUCCAACGGCAUACAAGUUUGCGAAGGAAUGGCACGAAGAAUGUGAUAUAUCGAGGGCAUGCCUGGCGAAGGCCGCCACUAAAAUGAAAAAGUGGGCGGACCGGAAAAGGAGGGCUAGAGAGUACCAAGUAGGGGAAAAAGUAAUGGUAAAGCUGCUACCUAACCAAUUUAAAUCCCUACCCAAGGUACAUAAAGGCCUAAUCCGAAGAUACGAAGAACCCUUCUCUAUCAUCGAGAAAGUGGGCAAAGCAGCUUACCGAUUGGAACUUCCUCCCAGACUGAAGAUCCAUAAUGUCUUCCAUGUGAGCAUGUUGAAGCCUUUCUAUGAAGACAAGGAGGAUCCAAGCAGAGGUGAGUCCUCUCGUGCACCUACCAGCAUGAUCUCAGAGUUCGACAGGAAAAUCAAGGAGAUCUUAGCAGAGAGGAAGAUACGAAGGAGAGGAGUUCCUAGUUAUAACGAAUAUUUAAUUGCUUGGGAAGGACUACCCGAAAGCGAAGCAAGUUCGGAAAAGGAGGACACCCUAUGGCAAUUUCAAGAUGAAAUCAGGAGAUUUCAAGAAAGCGCAACGGGGACGUUGCGAAAUCGAGUGGGGGAGGGUGUCACGCCCCAAAAAUGACCCAACAAAUUUUUCGCAAAUUAAGGCUCCUUAGCAUUGCCCAAGAGGAGCCAACCAAGUCCCAAGCAGUCCAAAGACCCAAGGAAGAGGAACAGGUUCACGCCAAGCCUAUGACACGCCAAUGUGCAGAGCGAGACUGGCGCGCGCGGCCCUGUCAUGACAUGGGCGCGCGCGCGUGCAAGGGCGGCAGGCAGACAAGCGGACGCGCACGGCAGCAUGGGCGCGCGCAAGGCCAGUCGGACGCGCGCGCUACACUAGCGCGCGCAGGAAGCGGACACGGAGCGCACGGAGCGCGCAGAGAAGCAUCCGGGAACCUCUAGAAGUUUCCAGAAGAAUCGCGAGCGGUCGGAAGGCUCGCGAACACGCGCGAAAGCGCGCGCGCGCCAGACGACGCCAGACGGCCCCAGACGCCUCCAGAAGCUUCUGGACAGUGUCAUGAGCGCUCGAGAAUGUUCCAGAUUGCUUUUGCCGACCUUGUAAGGCGGUUUAGGGCUUGUAAAUAGGUUGUAUACUUCUAUAAAUACCCCAAAGGGGUCCAUUAAGGGGUCCAUUUGUACAGACAACACAGAAUCCUUGGAAAUUCAUCAACAAAGCUCUCUUAAGCAUUUUAUCAAACACCUUGUCUACAACUCUUUGCCUACUUCUUACCUACGGAUUUCCUUCUUCCUUAGUUUGUUCCAACAAGUCCAAUUACUCUUAGGCUUACAUUGGUGCAACCCCAACACCUUUGUGCCGCACGUUGGUUUUGUGAUCAAAAUAACCACGUGACAAUAAGUAAACUUAAAAC